AGAACGAACGCUGGCGGCAGGCUUAACACAUGCAAGUCGAACGCGUGUAGCAAUACACGAGUGGCGCACGGGUGAGUAACGCGUGGAUAUCUGCCUUUUGGUUCGGAAUAACCCCGGGAAACUGGGGCUAAUACCGGAUGGUUCCUACGGGAUAAAGAUUUAUCGCCAAAAGAUGAGUCCGCGUCCGAUUAGCUAGUUGGUGGGGUAAUGGCCUACCAAGGCGACGAUCGGUAGCUGGUCUGAGAGGACGAUCAGCCACACUGGGACUGAGACACGGCCCAGACUCCUACGGGAGGCAGCAGUGGGGAAUAUUGGACAAUGGGGGCAACCCUGAUCCAGCCAUGCCGCGUGAGUGAUGAAGGCCUUCGGGUUGUAAAGCUCUUUUGGCGGGGACGAUGAUGACGGUACCCGCAGAAUAAGCCCCGGCUAACUUCGUGCCAGCAGCCGC
rnacentral:rRNA from 1 species